UUUGGAGGGCAAGUCUGGUGCCAGCAGCCGCGGUAAUUCCAGCUCCAAUAGCGUAUAUUAAAGUUGUUGCAGUUAAAAAGCUCGUAGUUGAAUUUCGGGAUCAGUACGUUGGUCGUGCCUCCGGUAUGUACUGGCUGUUACUGAUUCCUCCUUCUUGUAUGAACCGAUACAUGUCAUUAAUUUGGUGUUGCGGGGAAACAGGACUGUUACUUUGAAAAAAUUA
rnacentral:rRNA from 1 species